rnacentral:rRNA from 1 species
GACGAACGCUGGCGGCGUGCUUAACACAUGCAAGUCGAACGGUAAGGCCCUUCGGGGUACACGAGUGGCGAACGGGUGAGUAACACGUGGGUGAUCUGCCCUGCACUUCGGGAUAAGCCUGGGAAACUGGGUCUAAUACCGGAUAGGACCACUGCCUGCAUGGGUGGUGGUGGAAAGCUUUUGCGGUGUGGGGAUGGGCCCGCGGACUAUCAGCUUGUUGGUGGGGUGAUGGCCUCGCAAGGCGACGACGGGUAGCCGGACUGGGGGGGUGACCGGCCACACUGGGACUGAGAUACGGCCCAGACUCCUACGGGAGGCAGCAGUGGGGAAUAUUGCACGAUGGGCGCAAGCCUGAUGCAGCGACGCCGCGUGAGGGAUGACGGCCUUCGGGUUGUAAACCUCUUUCAGCACCGACGAAGCGCAAGUGACGGUAGGUGCAGAAGAAGGACCGGCCAACUACGUGCCAGCCGCCGCAGUAA